UCGAAAUUGAUUUGACAAUGCAAUUAGCUUUCGUGCACCCAAAUUCAAAAUAAAAACACAAAAAUCGCUGCCCUGCGCAGCAAGUUACGUGCUUCGUAGCCGUUGGAAGCCGUUUGCAGCUCAUUUCAUUGUUCAAUACAACAAAAUUAAUUCGUUGAGAAUGUCUUAUAAAUUGACACAUGUCAAAUGCACAGAAAUGAGAAUGUGACAACCACAACGACCGCAAAUGUCACAUACGGGGAAUAUUAAAAGCCUGAUUGUCAGCCUCGUUCAAUUCUUGCUGAGAGAAUAAUCACAGCGACGGGGCCAGGCGAAGCAGUCAAACACGUUGUGUGAAGAUGAAAAUAAAUUAACAAACGACAAUGAAUGCAAAAAAUAAUAUAAACAUCAACUCGACGUUUUUAAGAAUUACGUCUGGUAAUAAAUGAAUGAGGCGAUGGACGGACUAAUAAAACGGACGAGCGGAUGAUUUGCAGACAAUAUGGUCUGUAUGACAAAAACAAAAUGUUACUGAGUUGUAUGCUUCACCAGGCAUACUUGAAAUUAAAACGAAUAUAAACAAAUAAAAGCCAAAUUGAAACGAU